UUGCAAUGAUGAUACUUGUGGCUGGUUUCGCUAAACUCUUCUGAGAGGAAAUGAUGCCCUUGUGUUCCACUUGGCUGGCUGAGCAG